GGAUGCUUUUCAGCAAACUGACUCCAGGGAGCCUGCAGGGCCAGGAGAAGGAUGGCAGAAAGGGGCCGGGAGACAGAUGUCCAGAGAAUCCAAUGCCCUUAUAGUUAUCACCUGGGUAAAUACAAGGGCCACUGUGUGCAUUUGACAGAUGAGGGAAAGGAGGCACAGACAGGUUAAAGAGCUUGUCUGUGAUUACCAAGUGAAUAUAAAGAGAGUAAAAAUUGAUUAUCUGUGCUGCAAGGAUAUGAUCUGGACUAAAUCAUCUGUUCUUUGAUGCAGACCACUUCACCAAAUAGGGAUUAGGCUAUAUAGAGAUUAAUCAGACAAGCAAAUGGUUAUUUAUGGAUGAUUUCUCUUAAUUGACAACCAAUGGUUUACAAACUAGAAGCUAUCAUCUGUGAAACUGGAUAAAGAGCUUUCUGGUAGGAGUAAAUGACAGGGUAACACUGGGGACAUCCGAGGCAAAGUGGGAUCAUCUGGAGGGAAGGCAUCUUCUGGCACAGGUGAGCACAGGGAAGGACACCCAUCUCAAAAUCUCCUUCAAAUGUCAACACUUCUGUGUGUCAUUCAGAAGUUUUGCAUGGAUGAAAAACAAUUCUCCCAUCAUCCUUCCCAACACGUUUUUCUCAUUUCCUUUUUCAAAGGAAAAUGAAAGGACAGCAUCAAUGUAGGGGGAGGAUGGAAGAAGCAUUAUCAUCCAUCUUUAAUCCACUGGAGACAAUGAGUAGGAAGGAAGUUUCAUUUUCUUCUGAUACCCCUUUUCCUUUCAAUCCCAUCUCAUCUGCCCCUGAGGUACAGCUUUACCAUCUGUAAAAUGAAUAAACUGGGCUGAAUGAUUCCCAGUUUAAAAUUUCCUGAAUGAAUGGCACAAUACUAAGUUCUGUGGAUACAAAUACAAAUAAGCAAGAUGGUCUCUGCCUUCAAGGAGCUUACAUUUUAAUGGAGGAAGACAAUGACUAGUGGAGAGCAAGAAUUGGCAAGAAGGGAGGUGAAGCAAGCUGAGUUCAUCAAGGUCCCAAUAAUCCAAAUUGUGGUGAGAGUCAGCUGAGGCUGAGAGUGCAGUGGAGUGAGGCAAAAGGCUUGGAGAUGGCCAGGAAAGAAGUCUCCAAUUUGCUGUUGGUCUUACAAGAUUUCCUCUUUCUCCGCUCACCAUCACUGUAAUGAUGCUAUUUUUUUUUCUUUCAAAAAGGUAUAUCUGCAUUGGUUCCUAAUGGAGCCUGCAUCUGUCAAAGUAUUUUUCUCCAAAAUUUAUUAAAGCUGAAGGAGCAUGCUUAG